AAAUAGAAUAGAGGACUCCCAAAAUGUAUGCAAGUGGUUGAACUAGAGAUACUAUCGGCUCUAAGAUCUAUGGAUAAUUGUUAUGCUCUCUGAUCUCCAGAUCAAGGAAUAUCAGACCUUCAAGACCUAUUUUAUAAGUUGUCACAAAGUGAUUUACAAACUGGAUCACUUCACUCACCACAGAAAUGCACUGCUGAGGUAAAGUGUUGUAACUAAGAGUGCACAGCAAUACUUACAUAGCAGUUUAGGACAGGAAGUGAAGGAUGCCUUGUCUUCUUGAAACUACAUAAGGAAUUUAUAUAGUUGGAAUACAAUUACCUGAAUUGGAACUUGGCCAGGACCAUAAUAUCCUCAAUUUCAUGAGAUUUAUAGCAGUGGUAAUUAGCAGAUGACUUCUAUUGGCUAUUCCAUUGAGAAACUUCUUUCAAUUUGAAGAAAAGCAAGGGAAAGUGUAUCGGUGGACGAAGUGGAGUCAAAAGGCACUGCGUUGUCAGACCAUAGACAGUGAUUGGCAGGGUCUGCUAUAAGAAAUCCAGUCUUGCUCUUUCACCCAGGGCUGGACCAAUAUCACAACAAGCAUCAAGCUUAAAGGGAAGAACAGACACAUAGGAUACUGUGAAUAAAAUAGGGCACCUCCAGGCUUUGGAAAACAUCUCUCUGCUGCAUUAAGGGGCAUAUCCCGUUCCUGAGAUACAUGGAACCAAUGUGGUUGCUGUGGAAAGGAAUAGGGCAGGAUUUGAAGAGGCUACACAGGUUGUCUGCAUCUUGUAUGUGAAGCAAUGCUGUGUGGAGGGCACAGUUACACUUGCUCACAGGAAUAGUUUCAGAGCCAGGUAGGAUGACAUGCAACUGUGGAUCGACUGGCCAUCCAUUCCUAUGGAGAAAGUACAGGAAUUGCAGAACCAUGGCCAUUGUAGAGCAUUCAGAAGCCUGAAAAGUAGCAUUGACAUGGUGUGCUUUACACAUAUCCCAAAGCUAAUUUUUAGCACACAGACUAGCUUUCCAGGUCUAAGAAAGACUUUCUGACCCAUCUUUUCAUUCUUUAGAAUAGUCAAUUAAUUAAUUUAGUUUGUAUAUUUAGGUAGCUUAGUACCAAGCUUUUAUUUUAAUAUUUAUAAAGUUAUAGCAUGGUAUUUAUUUACAACAACAUGAACGUGUGAUUAUUUGUUUCUUGAAAGGCACACAUUAUGGAAUUACCAGUAUGUUAUUUAAUACUGUAUUUGGAAAUCACCUGAGGACCUCUAGAAUGUUCAGCAACAGUAAACUGUCAGGCCAGCUAGAACAAAAGAAAAGCAUCAUAGCUUGAAACUACUGAUAUAUGGAAUUAUCCUGCAAGUGAAAUAAACCAGCAACUCAGUGGUGAGAAAAACAUGAGUCAAAUUCUUUCCUUCAAUGAAUUCACAGUUCCUAUUAAAAUCAGCGGUAGCCACAAACCAAAUUCUGCUCUUGUGCAAUGUGAUGCCCAUUCCUCAAUGAGUGCUCCAGGUACGCAUCCAAGGGCAGAAUUUCUCCAUCAUGGUAUAUGACAGUGAUAGUAUUUAAAGGAAAAGGUGCAAAAAGCGUAGGCCUUGUACCUGCCUGUCACAUUCAAAUACUAACCUAUGUGUGAAAGGCUUUUCAGAGCUGAUUACUAUUCCAAAUGCCUGAGCCAGCCAGUCCUCCAAGCUGUGUAAUUCAAUGCAGUGGGAAUCCUAGCAGAUAAACAGGCAAAGUUCUCUGUCACUGUGACAUAUCAUGACCCAAAAGCUGGUUUUGAGCAUAGCCUAGAGAAUCCUACUACUGAUUCAGAAGCACCAUUUUUGGUUUGCCCAUUGAGGAAUCUACCCUCUCCCCUAGGGCCCCUGCUCUUUGGAGAUGGCUAUAAUUGUGAAGGGAGAGAGGGAGAGUGUGAUGCCGGAGGCUAGAGCCAGGGCUGCUCAUUGAAUCAGCUUGAAGGGGAUGUAGAUGUAACCAGCCAUCCCCAAUCCCCUGGAGACUAAGUGCCACAACUCUACUUUCAUAAGGAGCUAGCAAGAGACCCCAGUUCACCUCUUGACUCAGGUAGCUGCUAGCACAACAUGAUCUUUGCUCCCAAGCUGCCAAACUGAUGCUAUUUUUAAAACAUUCCCAUACAGAUUAAUUUCAAAUAAAGCAGUUCAAGUGCAGCAUCUUAAGGAAAACUUUCAAAUAACAACAGCAGCAUAUAAUUUCCACAUCCCUUUCAUCCUAAAAUGUGCAAGUAGAUUAUUGCGGCUUAGGUUAAACUCAAAAGUCCUCUCUCCAAGUG